AGGAAACGCUGUACAAUGUAGAAAAAUACAAAAUUGAAAACAUAUACUAGCACAGUGAUCAGAAUAAUUUAACAUCUACACCCAUCCCUCCCCAUCCCUUUCGAAUCGCGAACCCUGCUCCUUGAGCAUGUACAGAAACUGACAUGGACAAUAUCUAAUAUUCUAAUAUUUUCUCUUCUUUUCUAACAUGUUUGACACAUUCAGCCACGAUAUGGUUCAAUGCUACUUCGUCUACUCCGCAUCGCCUAGUAAUUCCAUUUUCAGAACAAAAACGACUUACGGAAAGAAAAGACAAAGAAAAACAAAAGUCAGAUAGAUAGACAGAUAGCAAGAUAUAUACAAUGAAUGACAGAUUGAUAGAUCGAAAGAUAGAUAUAAACACGUAGCUACAAAGACAGCUAUAUACAUUGUAUAUAGAUAAAAAGAAAGAAUGAUUCUUUGUGGUCAUUAUCGUACUUGUCAGUGUACCAUUCUUGUUCGGAAUUUGUUGAUACCACACAUAGUUCACACACACACACACAAACACACCUUAAAAAGAUCUUCAAGACAUAUUGCGCUUAAAACAAGACAAAAAAAAAAAAACGGAAAUAGUAAAACAUUUAAUAAAAAGGG
rnacentral:lncRNA from 1 species